rnacentral:misc_RNA from 1 species
CAAUAUGCUCAAUGGGACAGCAUUGAUUAACUAGAUAAUGUUUAUAAUGAGCAAGUUUCAAGAAGAAAGAUUUACAGCUAAAAAGUUGCACAUAUCAAAAUGAUAAAACAUUUUCACUCUCAAACUACCUCCUCAUGAAAACCAACUGCUAGAUCUUGAGUUGAGGAUUAUUACAAGCCCAAGCACAUAAAAAAUGCACGUAUCUGCAAUUGCAUGCAGGUCCACGAUCAAAGCUGCCCCAAAUGAGAAAAAGAUGGACGACUAGGAUCUUAUUUGGGGGAUUUAUCCUCCUUGGAGGACGAACCAUAUCGAGGAGGAGAAUAUAUCAG